rnacentral:rRNA from 1 species
CUACGGAGGGUCCAAGCGUUAUCCGGAAUCAUUGGGUUUAAAGGGUCCGUAGGCGGACAAUUAAGUCAGAGGUGAAAGCCCACAGCUCAACUGUGGAACUGCCUUUGAUACUGGUUGUCUUGAAUUAUCGUGAAGUAGAUAGAAUAUGUAGUGUAGCGGUGAAAUGCAUAGAUAUUACAUAGAAUACCGAUUGCGAAGGCAGUCUACUAACUAUAUAUUGACGCUGAUGGACGAAAGCGUGGGGAGCGAACAGGAUUAGAAACCCUAGUAGUCC